CCUCUACUCAUCUCCUGAAGCUGGUGAGCUUCUUGUCCUCUGCCUUUGGCUCUGAACAAUUGGUAUCUUCUGUACUUUAAGGUGACAGCUUUUGCAACCUACAGAGAAGGUUCUGUGAUCCACUUAGUCCUGAGAUGUAGCAUGCUUGUCUACUUGAAAGGCUCAGGUCUGGAUAAGAAAACACCCUGGGAACAUCAGCAGGACAUGUGGGAAGCAGAGCAAUAAGGAAGAUCAGGCAAUCACAGAGGUUGCUCAUGCAGCAUUUCUCUUCUUUCCAACAGGUAUUCUGAAGCACCUUAAAGCCUCUACUCCUUAGUUAAACACUUAAAUGGUUACUGUCUCCAGGGAGCAUCAUCAACAGAUGUUAAUUACAACUCUUGGGUUGCUAUUACUUAAUCUAGCCUACCAAAUGUACUACUUCACAGCAAUAGAAAAAG